UACAGAGGGUGCAAGCGUUGUUCGGAAUUAUUGGGCGUAAAGGGCGCGUAGGCGGUGCGGUAAGUCUGCAGUGAAAUCUCUGGGCUCAACUCAGAGUCUGCUGUAGAAACUGCCGUGCUAGAGUGCGGUAGAGGGUAGUGGAAUUCCCGGUGUAGCGGUGAAAUGCGUAGAGAUCGGGAGGAACACCAGUGGCGAAGGCGGCUACCUGGACCAGCACUGACACUGAGGCACGAAAGCGUGGGGAGCAGACAGG
rnacentral:rRNA from 1 species